GCGAACGGGGUAGGAAUACCUCGGUGACGUACCCCCAGGUCGGGGAUAGCGGCGGGAAACUGCCGGUAAUACCCGAUGACCUUCCCUGAUUUUAGCUUGAGGGAAGCAAAGGUGUGAUUCCGUCUGGGGAGCGGCUGAGGUCGUAUUAGCUAGUUGGUGAGGUAAUGGCUUACCAAGGCGAUGAUGCGUAGGGGGUGUGAGAGCAUGGCCCCCACCACUGGCACUGAGACACUGGCCAGACACCUACGGGUGGCUGCAGUCGAGAAUCUUCGGCAAUGGGCGCAAGCCUGACCGAGCGACGCCGCGUGCGGGAUGAAGGUCUUCGGAUUGUAAACCGCUGUCGGAGGGGAUGAAGUGUCGAUGGGUACUCCCAUCGAUUUGACAGAGCCUCGGAGGAAGCACGGGCUAAGUUCGUGCCAGCAGCCGCGGUAAUACGAACUGUGCGAACGUUAUUCGGAAUCACUGGGCUUAAAGGGUGCGUAGGCGGCGAUUCAAGUCAGGUGUGAAAUCCCCCGGCUCAACCGGGGAACUGCGCUUGAAACUGGAUUGCUCGAGUGAGGCAGGGGUGUAUGGAACUUCCGGUGGAGCGGUGAAAUGUGUAGAUAUCGGAAGGAACGCCGGCGGCGAAAGCGGUACACUGGGCCUUGUCUGACGCUGAGGCACGAAAGCUAGGGGAGUGAACGGGAUUAGAUACCCCGGU
rnacentral:rRNA from 1 species